UACGAAGGGUGCAAACGUUGCUCGGAAUCAUUGGGCGUAAAGCGCACGUAGGCGGCUUCGCAAGUCGGAUGUGAAAUCCCACGGCUCAACCAUGGACGUGCAUUCGAAACUGCGGAGCUUGAGUAUGGAAGAGGGUCGCGGAAUUCCCGGUGUAGAGGUGAAAUUCGUAGAUAUCGGGAGGAACACCAGUGGCGAAGGCGGCGACCUGGGCCAAUACUGACGCUGAGGUGCGAAAGCGUGGGGAGCAAACAGGAUUAGAAACCCCCGUAGUCC
rnacentral:rRNA from 1 species